rnacentral:rRNA from 1 species
UUCCGGUUGAUCCCGCCGGAAGGUACUGCUAUCAGACUUCGAUUAAGCCAUGCAAGUCGGCUCACUCACCUGAGUGGGCGGCACACGGCUGAGUAACACGUGGUCAAUCUGCCCUGGAGACGUGGAUAACCUUGGGAAACUGAGGCUAACCGCGAUAGAUGCCCUAUGCUGGAAGGCUUGGGCGUUCAAACGGCCGGUGAAUUGGAGCCGGUCCGCUCUAGGAUGAGACUGCGGCGGAUCAUGGUAGUCGGUGGGGUAAUGGCUCACCAAGCCGAUAAUCCGUAGGGGCCAUGGGAGUGGUGGCCCCCAGAAGGGUACUGAGACAAGGACCCUAGUCCUACGGGAUGCAGCAGGCGCGGAACCUCUGCAAUGCGCGAAAGCGUGACAGGGGAAGUCUGAGUGGCGGAAACUUAGUUUCCGUCUUUUGCCAAGUGUAAACAGCUUGGAGAAUAAGGGUGUGGGCAAGACUGGUGGCAGCCGCCGCGGUAACACCAGCGCCUCGAGUGGUACCCACGAAUAUUGGGCCUAAAGCGUCCGUAGCCGGACCAUUAAGUCCGCUGUGAAAUGUUGGAGCUCAACUCUAACGCGUGCAGUGGAUACUGUCGGUCUUGGGAACGGGGGAGGGUCGGGGUACUUCCAGGGUAGGGGUAAAAUCCGUUGAGCCUGGAAGGACCACCAGUGGCGAAGGCGCCGAUCCAAAACGUGUCCGACGGUGAGGGACGAAAGCUGGGGGAGCGAACGGGAUUAGAUACCCCGGUAGUCCCAGCUGUAAAUGAUGCAGACUGUGGUGUUGCGUAUGAGUAAUCAUGCGCAGUGCUGUAGCGUAGGUGUUAAGUCUGCCGCCUGGGGAGUACGAUCGCAAGAUUUAAACUUAAAGGAAUUGGCGGGGGAGCACCACAAGCCGUGGAUGCUACGGUUUAAUUGGAUUCAACGCCGGG